ACACUCCUACGGGAGGCAGCAGUGGGGAAUUUUGGACAAUGGGGGCAACCCUGAUCCAGCAAUGCCGCGUGAGUGAAGAAGGCCUUCGGGUUGUAAAGCUCUUUUGUCAGGGAAGAAACGGUAGUAGCGAAUAACUAUUACUAAUGACGGUACCUGAAGAAUAAGCACCGGCUAACUACGUGCCAGCAGCCGCGGUAAUACGUAGGGUGCAAGCGUUAAUCGGAAUUACUGGGCGUAAAGCGUGCGCAGGCGGUUGUGUAAGUCAGAUGUGAAAUCCCCGGGCUCAACCUGGGAAUUGCAUUUGGGACUGCACGGCUAGAGUGUGUCAGAGGGGGAUAGAAUUCCACGUGUAGCAGUGAAAUGCGUAGAUAUGUGGAGGAAUACCGAUGGCGAAGGCAGCCCCCUGGGAUAACACUGACGCUCAUGCACGAAAGCGUGGGGAGCAAACAGGAUUAGAAACCCCAGUAGUCCC
rnacentral:rRNA from 1 species